rnacentral:rRNA from 1 species
UGAAAGCGAGCGACGCAACUCGGUUGUGUUCUAUUGGCGUGAUCUUAGCUAUUAUUUAUAGUAGUUAGGCGCAACGCCGGCCCGUCCUAUUGCCAAGUGCAUUGUGCGGAGCUAGAGCAUACAUGCUGAGACCCGAAAGAUGGUGAACUAUGCCUGGACAGGAUGAAGUCAGGGGAAACCCUGAUAGAAGUCCGUAGCGAUUCUGACGUGCAAAUCGAUCGUCUGAUCUGGGUAUAGGGGCGAAAGACUAAUCGAACUAUCUAAUAGCUGGUUUCCUUCGAAGUUUCCCUCAGGAUAGCUGGCGCAUAUAUUGAGCUGGUAGUCUCUCCCGGUAAAGCGAAUGAUUAGAGGUCUUGGGGCCGAAACGGCUUCAACCUAUUCUCAAACUUUAAAUGUGUGAGAAGUCUGGCUUGCUUAUGUGAAGUCUGGACUAUAAACGGAUGCCAAUGUGCCUAGUGGGCCAUUUUUGGUAAGCAGAACUGGCGCUGUGGGAUGAACCGAACGCUGAGUUAAGGCGCCUAAGUGCGACGCUCAUUAGACCCCACAAAAGGUGUUGGUUGCUAUAGACAGCAG